GUUCGCAGCUGGUUGUGUGAGGAGAGGUUGUUGUACUGUUAUUCUUCUCUGUUAUUCGUCUUUAAUCAAUCUGAAUCAGAGGUGAAAGCAUGAUUCUGGCUGAUCUAAGCUUGUGAACCUUCUGAUGUGUGUUUUGAUUGUGUAGAUGGCCAUGAUUGUGUUUGUGUUUCUAUCUGUGUGUGUUUUGGUGUUGUGUAUUGCAUGUUUCAUGGUCAUGGUUCAAUGUGGUCGAGUUUUGAGCUUGGAUUUGUUGUCACGGAGCGACAAGAGGCGUUUCUAGAAGUUUUGAAGAGGUGGGUGUCGGUUACACCACCAAUGGUGAGGAGUCAGUGUCAAUCAAGACUAGGCGGGUGUCAGUCGAGACCGACAAAUGAUUUUGAGAGAUGGUGCGAUCGUGGAAUCGUUGCAACGACGAGGGUGAAGAUCUAUAAUCACUAAGUGGUAUUAUGUUUUAAUUUGUAAGACCCCAGUUUGUGGAGAAGUUUAAAUGAGUUGAUUUGGCCACGUAUGUCACCAAAGUGCACUUAUCUUUUCGGUCAAGGGUCUUCGAAGAACUUCACAGUAAAGCGUGCUUAUGCUGGAGUAGUCGAAGGAUGGGUGACCUUCAAGAAAGUCAUUGUCAGAAUUGUGAGUUAGGCCAAAACACAAGGAAAGAUCAUGUGGUGAUUUUUAAGGUCAGUAAAUAAGUCUUUAAGCCUCCUGGACGUAUCAAACCGGCCAUCAGAUAUGGAUGGGCUCGCAGGUCUAAUAAGAGGAUGUGAGGCCCAUUAAGAGAGAUUUAAUAUGACGAUGUCAGCAAUGUGGUUGGGUCAUUAUACCAAAAAUCGAGCUUGAAGCGGGUAUGUGAGAAGAUCUUAUCCUAGAUAUGGAAGUGUCCUUUAAAAUGUGGAGGAUCGCUACUACUUGGGAGAGGGGUAACGCCAAAUGUCUCAACAAAGACGAUGUGAUCGGGCUUUGUUGGGACAAAUGGAAUCGAAAAUUUGUUUGUAAGCUUUUUCGUUGAUCGUGUUCUUGUCUUUCUCUAAUUAAUUCUCUACCUGUUACUUGUUUCCCUAUGUGAGCUUGAUGAAAAAUUACUAGUACAAGUCCCAGAUGUUUGUGUUAUU